rnacentral:rRNA from 1 species
GACGAACGCUGGCGGCGUGCCUAAUACAUGCAAGUCGAACGCUUCCUACCGGUGCUUGCACCGGGAAAGAAGAGUGGCGGACGGGUGAGUAACACGUGGGUAACCUACCUACAAGCGGGGGAUAACAUUCGGAAACGGCUGCUAAUACCGCAUAGAUCUUUUUGUCUCCUGGCAGAAAGAAGAUAGACGGUUUCGGCUGGCACUUGUAGAUGGACUCGCGGCGCAUUAGGUAGUGGGUGAGGUAAUGGCUCACCAAGACGAUGAUGCGUAGCCGACCUGAGAGGGGGAUCGGCCACACUGGGACUGAGACACGGCCCAGACUCCUACGGGAGGCAGCAGUAGGGAAUCUUCCGCAAUGGACGAAAGUCUGACGGAGCAACGCCGCGUGAGUGAAGAAGGUUUUCGGAUCGUAAAACUCUGUUGUUAGAGAAGAACAAGGAUGAGAGUAACUGCUCGUCCCUUGACGGUAUCUAACCAGAAAGCCAUGGCUAACUACGUGCCAGCCGCCGCCGUAA